GAUGAACGCUGGCGGCGUGCCUAAUACAUGCAAGUCGAGCGAACGGACGAGAAGCUUGCUUCUCUGAUGUUAGCGGCGGACGGGUGAGUAACACGUGGAUAACCUACCUAUAAGACUGGGAUAACUUCGGGAAACCGGAGCUAAUACCGGAUGAUAUUUUGAACCGCAUGGUUCAAAAGUGAAAGACGGUCUUGCUGUCACUUAUAGAUGGAUCCGCGCUGCAUUAGCUAGUUGGUAAGGUAACGGCUUACCAAGGCAACGAUGCAUAGCCGACCUGAGAGGGUGAUCGGCCACACUGGAACUGAGACACGGUCCAGACUCCUACGGGAGGCAGCAGUAGGGAAUCUUCCGCAGUGGGCGAAAGCCUGACGGAGCAACGCCGCGUGAGUGAUGAAGGUCUUCGGAUCGUAAAACGCUGUUAUUAGGGAAGAACAUAUGUGUAAGUAACUGUGCACAUCUUGACGGUACCUAAGCAGAAAGCCACGGCUAACUACGU
rnacentral:rRNA from 1 species